CCUACGGGCGGCAGCAGUAGGGAAUAUUGCACAAUGGGGGAAACCCUGAAGCAGCAACACCGCGUGGAGGAUGAAGGUUUUCGGAUGGUAAAGUCCUUUUGUUAGAGAAGAAAAUGACGGUAUCUAACGGAUAAGCACCGGCCAACUCCGUGCCAGCAGCUGCGGUAAUACGGAGGGCGCAAGCGUUAGGCGGAAUGACUGGGCGUAAAGAUCGCGGAGGCGGGAUAGCAAGUCAGAUGUGAAAUCCUAUGGCUUAACCAUAGAACUGCAUUUGAAACUGUUAUUCUUGAGUAUAGGAGAGGUAGGUGGAAUUCUUUGUGUAGGGGUAACAUCCGUAGAGAUCAAGAGGAAUACUCAUUGCGAAGGCGACCGGCUAGACCAUAACUGACGCUGAUGCGCGAAAGCGUGGGUAGCAAACAGGAUUAGAUACCCCAGUAGUC
rnacentral:rRNA from 1 species